AAUCCAUAGGUUAAUGAGGCGAACCGGGGGAACUGAAACAUCUAAGUACCCCGAGGAAAAGAAAUCAACCGAGAUUCCCCCAGUAGCGGCGAGCGAACGGGGAGGAGCCCAGAGCCUGAAUCAGCAUGUGUGUUAGUGGAAGCGUCUGGAAAGGCGCGCGAUACAGGGUGACAGCCCCGUACACAAAAGCGCAUGUGCUGUGAGCUCGAUGAGUAGGGCGGGACACGUGGUAUCCUGUCUGAAUAUGGGGGGACCAUCCUCCAAGGCUAAAUACUCCUGACUGACCGAUAGUGAACCAGUACCGUGAGGGAAAGGCGAAAAGAACCCCGGCGAGGGGAGUGAAAAAGAACCUGAAACCGUGUACGUACAAGCAGUGGGAGCACCCUUUGGGGUGUGACUGCGUACCUUUUGUAUAAUGGGUCAGCGACUUAUAUUCUGUAGCAAGGUUAACCGUAUAGGGGAGCCGUAGGGAAACCGAGUCUUAACCGGGCGUUAAGUUGCAGGGUAUAGACCCGAAACCCGGUGAUCUAGCCAUGGGCAGGUUGAAGGUUGGGUAACACUAACUGGAGGACCGAACCGACUAAUGUUGAAAAAUUAGCGGAUGACCUGUGGCUGGGGGUGAAAGGCCAAUCAAACCGGGAGAUAGCUGGUUCUCCCCGAAAGCUAUUUAGGUAGCGCCUCGUGAAUUCAUCUCCGGGGGUAGAGCACUGUUUCGGCUAGGGGGCCAUCCCGGCUUACCAACCCGAUGCAAACUGCGAAUACCGGAGAAUGUUAUCACGGGAGACACACGGCGGGUGCUAACGUCCGUCGUGAAGAGGGAAACAACCCAGACCGCCAGCUAAGGUCCCAAAGUCAUGGUUAAGUGGGAAACGAUGUGGGAAGGCCCAGACAGCCAGGAUGUUGGCUUAGAAGCAGCCAUCAUUUAAAGAAAGCGUAAUAGCUCACUGGUCGAGUCGGCCUGCGCGGAAGAUGUAACGGGGCUAAACCAU
rnacentral:rRNA from 3 species